UUCCCUUUUCCUUGCACGCAUGAUCGGCCAGCUGACUAUGUUUCAACAAACGUACCUCUGCUCAUCCGCCUCCCAUCUCUUCCGCCCCCAUUUUCUCUCUCUUCACAAUUCUUCUUUCUCUCACCUUCUCACUCCUUCUCUACGGCUUUCAGAAUGCUUCCCAUCUCUUCUUUGUUAUUGCUCUUGUUCAGGGUUUCAUCGCGGCAAGAACGGUGAGAUCUAUUACAAUCCUUACAUAUCAAUUCUACAAAUUCGAGCGGCGACUUUCUUCCUCAUAAUGUUGAUGCAUUGCUGGUUGUGGCAAUUCUCUAGCAAAUUUAGGCGCUAGCUAAUAGCUAUGGCGAUUUCAAAUUUUGAAUCCCUUUAGGCUCUAGCUAUGGCGAUGUUCAAGUUCCGAAGUUUCUUACCGGUUAUCUGACUGGAUGGGGAAAGCACAACAAAGUUGUUGGUGAUGGAGCACUGAAUGGAUGCUCAGUGGCAUUGGGGUUCCUUCUCAUUUGGUGGAGACCUACCUCGGGAGAUUUAUAUCGCAGGGAAACAAUCUCUACUUGUUUAAAAAAAUCUGGGACCUUUCAGAAAAUUUCAUGGUACUUUGAGUAAGAAUAGUGCUUAUAUCUCUGUGCCUCUCUUCUUGGAUCCAAAUUAUUUAUGCCUGGCAAAGAGUUCAAGAUGUUACUCAUUUGUUCCAGUCGUAAGUUUGAAAGGGCUUUGUUUCUGGUUGCGAUUAGUUGUUCAGAAGAUGAAAAAGACAAGGGUAUUGUACUGUUAAAGCAAGGUGCCAAAGCUGUAAGUGAUUUUUGUUCUCAAUUAUUUUUUCUAGAAUAAUUUCUUGUGAGAGAUGGUCGUGACCAUCAUGUUCAGGGAAAAAUUGUAUCUUUCUAAUCUUAGUGCCUUCUCCUGCUUAUAAUUUUUGUAAUAAAUGGAUAUUUUUCUUAUCUGUUCUUGAGAACCUGUUCAAAAAUUUUGUAUCUAUAUGCUAAAAUUGUGGAAAGAGAGAUAGAAGAGAGAUGAAAGUCAACUUAAAUUGUGGAAAGAGAGAUAGAAGAUAUGUUUGAUAUCUGUGUUGGAUGGAUGUUUGUCUCUUUUGUUCUUAAGAACUUGGUCAAAUAUUCGGUGUCCAUAUUUGGUCUCCUUGUUUCUUUUGGCACGGAUCUGGACGUGAACCAUUUUAGGAUAAAUUAAAUAGCUUAUUUUUUUCCAGUAAGACCUGGGUGUACUUGAAAGCAACAUACAGAGAUAAUGGAAUAGGAAGUUGUGCUUGGUAUUAUGAAAAUCAUAGAAACAGAUCGCCCUUGUGGACUUGCUUGCCAUCUGAGGUCAUAUGAAUAUAUGAUGCAAUUAGAAAUUUUAGGACUUCUAAUUCAAAAUAAUCUUUAUUGCAUUAUUUGUAUAUUCUCCAAAUAGGCUUGAGGUCAGGUCUAGGCCUCUAGGUCUCUGGGCUCUAACUAUAAGCUGGUGGCUAAUGCUUAAUCAGUGACUAAUAUAUCUAAUGUGCAUUUGUUUAAGAUUGGUUGAGAUGGGUGGUUAGAUAGAUAGUGUGUUUGAUUGUGUAGAAUUUAGGGAAAUAUAUAUGCACAAGGGUUUGGCUAAAUCUCUCUAAAAAACUACAAAGGAAGGCGAAAAACUUUAGACUACUACAUCUCUACUCUCCAGGAAAGGAUUAUAGUGAAUUUUACUAACAAGUAACAACACAUUGAAUUACAUACUUCCUUAAACAUUUCAUAUCCUUACUAAUCUUGGCAAUCGGACAUAUUACACAUAAGAAAACCAUUUGUUUCUAAAGACCAGUUUUGCUUAUGUCUAGAGAUUCCCAUCUAAUAAAUCUCAUUUAUUGUUUCUCCACGUGUUGCUUAUGCCUUACUCAUAUGGACUGUAAUCAACUUUAUUUUCCAACUAAUAUUGUGUGUCGUGUUUAGGCUGUGUACUCCCGAGUCCUGAAUACAAUAUGUAUGAAGAUGACCCGUUUUCUCUGUAGAUGGAGGAUCAUGGUAGUAACCUAUAAUUCUAAUGUUCGUUAUUAUUGGAAGUGAUAACAAAUGUAUAUGCAAGCACCUUAGCCUAAGAUUGUUUCCUCAGUUAUGUGAUAUUGAUUGUGUUAUUGAUAUAAACAACAAACAAGAGAGUUUAUAUAUGUUGGUUGCUGCAGUAUCUCGUUUAGAGGGAUCGAAGCAUUUAGAAAAGGAACACAAAGUGUUUGUUGUUGCCAACAUAGAUGGAUGGAUGUCUUUCAGGUUCCAUUAAUGCUACAGACAUAUUUAUUUAGAAGAAAGUGUUCAUAAAACUCUGGUAGCCAGAGGCAGGAAUGGACAUAGAGCCUUUUAAUGGUCGAGCUCAAGACAAAGUAGAGACAAUCAUCUUAUAAGUUAAUUGGUCACUUAUGUAUAAUUACUGAAAUGAGUUCAUUCUUUUCAAGGUGAUGAAUUGAUGAACCUUGUUUUCCAAAUUGUAAUUUUUUUGUUAAGUCCCAUUAAAAGUUUACUAAUUAAGUGUGUUGUUUUUGUUCAUGCAGUAUAUAUACGGCUCUAAAUGAAGAGCCUUAUUAUUCA